UGACACCCAGGUCCGAACCCCAACUCCCAAACCGAACCCACUGCUCGAUCUCACGUCCUAAGAGUUUCGUGUGGAUCGUCUCCUCCAUUAUCCCUCCUGCAAUCACGCUCUUCGUCUAAUAUCAUCUCUCUCUAUCUCUCUGUGGGGUGGAUAAUCAACGCCAUCAUCUUUUAUCGCGGUCCGUUGAGUUAGGCGCCAUUUUUCUCUCGAUUCUGGUCCCGUGUUCGAAUCGUUACCUGAAAGUAAAAGCUAAAAGCUAAGAAAAUGAUACAAAUGGAAUUCAAACCCGUGCUUGGGAGGGGAGAAAAGAUCGUGCAAACCAACUCCACCAAGAGAAACUUGUGUUAUUAUUGAUUUAUUGUAGUUUCAAGGAAUAUACGAUUGCACCCAACAACAAAAUAAUACGGUGCACCUUCCACGGCCCUAAAACAUUUUACACUAUGAUGAAGGAACGAAGCAAUGGCCCAUGCCACCGUAUGCACCUAGUGGGUCCGCCCUAGUUUGUGUGUGCCUAAACGCUAUCUUCUAGACCUUUUUGGAUUUUGUGUUCUAUAUUGCUCCGCCUUAAAAGCGAACCCUGCCACAAA